CUGGGAGUGCAGUCCCUCUGCUUUGAUUGCUGUGUCCCUUUGGUAGUGAUUUUGGAGGGGAAUCCCAGAGCCAUUUGGUUUGAAGGGGACCUUCAAAGGCCAGCCUGUCUUCCGUGGGCAGGGACACCUUCCACUGUCCCCGGUUGCUCCGAGUCCCGUCCAGCCUGGCCUGGAACACGUGCAGGGAUGGGGCAGGCUCAGCUUCCCUGUGCAGUGUGCUCUAAUAUCUCUCCACUGGCAUCCUGAAAAAUGUUGUCAGCGUGUUUUGUUGGCCGACGGUAAGCAGGACCUGGGUGAAAAGGACAUUCUCUGAGGUGCUGGGAGAAGGAGGACUCGUGCGGGCACCUCCAGAGACAGCGGGAACGGGAGCGUGCUGCGGAGAAGGAAAAUUCCAGGGGAAUUGCCACGAGAGGAAAUACUUCAGAGGGGCUUCCCUCCAGCUAAGCCCUGAAUAUGCCAGGAGGUUUCAGCCGGGAGGAAAGGAGCUGUGGAAGAAAAGCAGCCUAAAAAUAGCCAGCGGGGAUCAUCAGGUUUUCCAGCCAAGAAGAACAAGGAGAGAGAUGAGGGAAUCGGGUUCCAAUUCCUAAUGAUUUGGUGGGUGCAGGAAUGAUUUCUGUGUGUUUUCCAGUCCCUUUUGAUUCCUGAGAUGAUUUUAAAAUGAUGGCUUUAGCAAUCAACUAAAUCGGAGAUGUUGUUUUUGAGAGGAAAUGAUGCCAAAUAAAUGCAGAGUUUUGGGUCAGUUUUUGG